UCACUAGUUUAGUAUUUGGCUAUGGUCAGUGUCUUAGCUGGUAUAAUGAAGAAAAACCUGGACUCCAACUCCUCCAGUGCGGUGGGGGAGUGUGUUUCUCUGGUCCAGUGGAUUCCGGGUUCCUACUGGUGCACAACAAUACCCAUGAGAAGAGAGUAUACAGAAACUUCCUGAAGACCAAGUGAACUAUAUAAGAGUAGAGUUGAGAGUAGAGCUGCAGUGAAGAUUAGUUACAGAGCUGGACUCCAUUUGGUUUAUUUUAUUAUGAGAAGUUCAAAGACCAAACCAAAGAGGGGAAUGUACUUGUCAUGGUCUGCGGUGGUUGGGUGGAAUUUCCAUGACGCUCCUGAACCUACCUGGGAUCCGCCCCUGGGCAGGGCCACCUCCUCCAGUUCCUGCACACCUGGAGCAAUCAAGCCAGAGUGAUUUUGCAUUUCCCUAGCCACAUUACUCAGGCCACGCCACAUCAAGCUCUAAGUUGCAUUGCUUUUGUCCUUGCCACAUUUCCAAAGUCUAAGCCUAACCAAUAAAAUAUUGUUAAACCACCUGCUGUCUCUGUUUUGGGUUUCUGCACUGGAGUCCCAUUUCGUUACAGACCACAUCUGGUUGCUUUUGAAAAUAAAAUAAGUUUUAGUUUUUGUAAUUUCUAUUUGCAGAUAGCCUUUGGACCAGCUAAUAGAGCAGGAAAAUACAAGAAAUGUCUUUUUAACAUGACUGUAUACAAUACACAGCAGUUAUUUUCAAGCACAUUCACAGAUCAUCUCUUGGCGGUUUAUGGGCACUUGUACUAAUCUUUUAACCAUGUGAAAUACUUGAAAUUAAUUCAAGUUUCAUGGCACUCCUUUUGCUGCUCUAAGGUGCUGUCUUCACCUUUUCUGCCAGGGCGGUGUCGGGUCUCCUGUGUCCUCUUGGCUUCUACACCCGCGUGCUACUCAUCUGAUCCCUAUCACUGCUGAUCGAUCCAGGCAGUACUGAAGGCCUUGUUGGAGUGCUGUUCAUCAUUGGGUUGUUGUUCUUACCUCUGUUAGUGUAGCCCGGCUCUCUCUAGUGUGCUUUCCUGUGUUCCCUAGUACUUCUUCUAACACCUGUCUCGGUCUCCAUGUAUAGAUCUUCCUGGACACUAGCCUGUUUCCCUUGGACCUGACAUGGAUGAGAGUGAGUCACAGUGUGGAAUUGGAUUGAUUGUGUUUCUUGUCAGGGACUGCACAAAGAGGAGUGUGAGUGAGUUUUCCCCGACCCUGGAUCUUCCCUUGGAAUCCAUCCCUGGAUCUUCCCUUGGAAUCCCUGGAACCCUUUUCUCAUUAUCACCGUAUAUAUUGAAAUAACUCACCCGGUGUUGUAAAUAAAACCCCUUUUGACUGCA